AUCAUUUUUUAUCUUAUUUUACACAAGUUUCAAAUUUGAGGGGAUGAGCAUCUGAUUAACCUGUCUUGGGUACAGGCAUACUGUUUUUCCAGAAAAGGUUAGUUGCUUUUUGCUGACCGUGCAUUAAUAUUUGAUCCAGUGGGAAAUUAUACCAUCCAAACCAAAUACAGGGACUUCUUAGAAGAAGGAAAAUGGAUACUUACUUGUAAAACCAUCAGAGGUUUGUCAUUAUAUUUGUUCUUACUAUUUCUGUGUAAUUUAGUAUUUUUUGCUUUCUCUAAGGAAAAUUGCCUUACAAGAAAUGUUUGAGAUCAGUUCAGAGUUUAAUUUAUUUCACCCGAUGAUGAAAUCAUAUUCAUCAUUUUGCUGAUAAUAGCAUUUGAGUAAAAGUGACUAAUAUCUUAAAUGGAUUUCAGAAUAAUUAUGGUUAAAUAGAGAAGUGAUCAUACAUUAUCAAGAUUAUUCUAUCAAUUGCAGUCCAACAACUUAAGAAUAAAAUCCAGAAUACAUAUAUAUAACUUGGAUAGUUUCUCACAUGGUAAAUACAGAAAAAAGGGAAGGUUAUAAAAUCUAUUAUAACUUUAAACAAAGUUAUAGAAUAACAAAUAUUCAGUGGUGACAUAUAUAUUAACCAGAAUUAUGUGUCUUAACUACUAUUAGGAAUUUUUGGAUACAGAAGUAGAUAAUGCCUGUUUGUGCCUGUGAAUGUCUCUACAUUCUCUUGGUAAGAGCACACGACUUUAUUUCAGACACAUUGCCCCAUUUAAUCUGGUUCUGGCAGAGUACCAAUCAUAUUGCCCUCUCACUUGAUCCAAACCUUGGGCAAGAAAUUCAGAUUAGGUACCUUAAAAUAACUUUUUGUCAUAAUAAAUGUCUCUAGAAAGAACAAAUGGCCCUUUCCAAAAAAAUUUCCAUUGAUAAGAAUCAUCUUAGAAUGAUGUAAUUGUGUCACUAUCAUUCUGUAACUUCCCUUGUUGCCAUAUGGAGGAAAUCUAUGUGUGGGAGGAAAAACCGAAAUAGAAAACAGGGUGGGAAGAGAAAAUGAAAGAAGUCAGAGACCGGAAGAGUAAGAAAACAAAAGUCAGUAUCUGGAUUAGUGCAUGAGUGAAGAUGCUAAAGAUUCUAUUGGAACUUCCUGUAGGUAGUGCUACUCUUAAGAAUCAAAGGUUGAAGAGGUAAAGGAGAAAGAAAAUAAAAAGUUCUGAAGCUAAUUAGAUGAUUCAGAGGGGACAGUUACCUCAUCUAUAAGUCAGUAUUGGGUGGAAGAGUGGUGGGAGAAAAUUUAGCCUCCAUUGAGAAGGUUCCAGAGAAUGCUUAUAUUUCAUGGGAAAACCAGAUUUCAAGAAUGGCUGUGUUCUAGAGAAGAAACGUGAAGUACUUCAGGCAUGGAGAGAGGAUGGUAAUAGUGAGCAGAAUAUAAACUAUUAGUAUGUGGUAAAUAACUUAGGGACAAAAGAAAAAAUGUGAUUAGUCUGAUAUUCUUAAGUUUCGUUGUCUUGGUUAUCUUGGUAGUGCUCAGAGUUUUAGAAAAAGGAGAGAGUGGCUUAAAAUACAGAUAGAUAGAUAGAUGAAAAUGCAUACUAUAUAUAUGGAGUCCUUAUGAAGUUCAAAGUCAGGAUACUGUGAAAUUAUCAAAGGUUUGAUUCAUGAAUAUGGGUCAUUGGUUUGACCACUCACUCUAAAAUGGUUUAGAAAUGAAAUACAUAUAUACAUACACUCACAUGCACACAUUUCUAUUAUAUUUGUAACAUAUUUAAUAGUUUUUUAAAAAAUCAAAAAAUUGAAAAUAUGAAUAAAUCUUAUGUAAUUUAAUUUCCUAAAAGCGAAGUGUUAAAUCACUAAUAGUCUCAAAAAGACAUUUGUCAUGUGUUGUUUUUGUGUUGUGUGUGCAGUUGAAUAUUUAUGUUUGGGCUGAAAUAAGUGAUUUUAAAAAACUUAUAAACUGGAAAUCUUUGAUCAUUUCAGUGUUUGUAGUGGUUGGUUGAUGAAACAAUCUGUGCUUAAAUAGUUUGUGCUCAUGUCUUCUGGAAAUAUUUAAAUAUUCCUGAGUCCUUACAAUUCUGAGAGAGAUUGAGUUUAAGGUGUUGUAUUUUUAAGCCUGUAUUUCUUUUUUUUAAUUUUUAAAAAAUUUUAAUAACGAUUUUUACUUUUUCUAUCAUAGCUGGUUUACAGUGUUCUUUCAAUUUUCUACUGUAUAGCAAAGUGACCCAUAUAUAGAUAGAUUCUUUUUCUCAUACCCAGCAAUCCCACUCUUGGGCAUAUAUCCUGACAAAACUUUCCUUGAAAAAGACAUGCACCUCUAUGUUUAUUGCAGCACUAUUCACAAUAGCCAAGACAUGGAAACAACAUAAAUGUCCAUUGACAGAUGAAUGCAUUAAGAAUAUAUGGUAUUAAGAAUAUAUGGUAUAUAUACACAAUGGAAUACUACUCAGCCAUAAAAAAGAAAAGAAUAAUGCCAUGUGCAGCAAUAUGGAUGGAACUAGAGACUCUCAUAUUAGGGCUGCUGUAAAGAAGUACCACAAACUGGGUGGCUUAAAUCGUAGGAAUUUAUUGUCUUAACAGAUUUGGAGGCUAGAAGUCUGAGAUAAAGAAGUCAACAGGUUUGGUUUCUUCUGAAGGUUGAGAAGGAGAAUCUAUUCUAUGCUGCUUUUUUAGCUUUUGGUGGUUUGCUGAUAAUCUUUGAAGUUCCUUGGCUUGUAAAUGCAUCACUGUUAUCUUUGCCUUCAUGUCUGUCUCUGUGUCUAAAUAUAUCCUUCGUAAAGGACACUAAUCAUAUUUAGGGCACACUCUAGUGAUUUCAUUUUAACUUGAUUACCUUUGUAAUCUAUUUUCUAUUUCCUGCUUCAAAACCUUUUUGCAAUAAAGAUUAUAUUCUCAUGCACUAGAGAUUAGGAUUUCAACAUAUAUUUGAUGGACACAGUUCAAUCCAUAAUACCUCAUAGAAUGUGGCACACAAAAUAAAUAAAUGAAAAUAUUUAUACAUUGAUAUAUUUGCAAAUUUACAGUAUCUAUAAAAAGAGCAUUUUUUUACUCAACACUUCUAAUACUAAGAAUUUAGCCUUAAGGUAAAUUCAAAUGAGGAUGUUAUUUUAGCAUUCAUUCAUCUGAAACCUAUAAUAUCUAAAAUAUUAAUUCUAGCAUUAAUAAUAAAAUUAAGAAAUGAAAACACUCCAAUAUCCCUUAAGUGAUAAAGAUCUUAUCAUAUACCUAUAGGUAAGUUUGUGGAAUAUUGUGCAUAUUUUAUAGAUAAUAAGGUCAAAGAUAGAAAGUUCUGAGGCUAAUAAAGUAAAAAUAAGUUAAAUUCUACAUUGCUGUCUGUGGUACUCCUGCAAUAUAUAAAUAUAUCAUUGAAUAUACCUGGAAAGUAGCCUCAGUGCUGUCCCUUAUAUUUAUUUGUUUAUUUUUCUUUUGCCCUGCCUGUAGCUCGUCGAAGUUCCUGGGCCAGAGAUGGAACCCACACCACAGCAGCAAUCCAGACUACCUCAGUGACAAGGCAGAUCCUUAACCCACUGAACCACAGGGAAACUCAUGUCAUUUGUAUUUCUAAUGUGAUUACUUCUGGGGAGUUGAAACAAACUGGGUGAAAUCAGAGAGGUGACAGAGUACAUGUCAGACAAAGCAUCUCACUUUUGACUUUAUGUAUUUUUGAUGUGAUAGAAUUGAUUGUUUUUAUAGUAAGCAUUAUUUAUCAUUAAGUUAUGGGGAAAAAGAAAAUUAGUAUAGAUUAUACCUUUCAAUUAGAUGUCUCUUAAAAUUUCAAUGGAUAAUACUUUGGAGAGUGAAAAGGUUUCUAUCUACUAUAAAAUCACUGGGGAUCAUAGCUUCCUCCAUAUACCCCAAGGAAUAAUUAUUAACUGUGCAUUCUGAAAUUAUAGCAUAAUUCUUGAGUUCCUAUCAUGUGCUAGACUUUGCUUUGUGUGUUUGACAUAAGGCCAAAAAAAAAAAAAUAGUAAGGGAAAUUUCUCUGUCCUAAUGGAAUAUGUAUUCUAGAGGAAGAAAGAUGAAAUAUAUAAGAUCAAUCUAUCUCAACAUCACCACCAUUAUCACUAUCCGUUAGUGCAAGUACUAAGAAGGAAAGGAAAUGUUAUAUUCCUCAUUGAGAAAAUGAUACUU
rnacentral:lncRNA from 1 species